rnacentral:rRNA from 1 species
UACGUAGGGGGCAAGCGUUGUCCGGAAUUAUUGGGCGUAAAGAGCGUGUAGGCGGUCCGGUAAGUCAGAUGUGAAAGUCAAGGGCUCAACCCUUGAAUGCCGGUUGAUACUGUCGGGCUAGAGUCCGGAAGAGGCGAGUGGAAUUCCCGGUGUAGCGGUGAAAUGCGCAGAUAUCGGGAGGAACACCAAUGGCGAAGGCAGCUCGCUGGGACGGUACUGACGCUGAGACGCGAAAGCGUGGGGAGCAAACAGG